rnacentral:rRNA from 1 species
UACAGAGGUCCCAAGCGUUGUUCGGAUUCACUGGGCGUAAAGAGCUCGUAGGCGGUCUGUCGCGUCGGAUGUGAAAACCCAGGGCUCAACCCUGGGCCUGCAUUCGAUACGGGCAGACUAGAGUACGGCAGGGGAGACUGGAAUUCCUGGUGUAGCGGUGAAAUGCGCAGAUAUCAGGAGGAACACCGGUGGCGAAGGCGGGUCUCUGGGCCGAAACUGACGCUGAGGAGCGAAAGCGUGGGGAGCGAACAGG